rnacentral:rRNA from 1 species
AUUGAACGCUGGCGGCAGGCCUAAUACAUGCAAGUCGAACGGUAACAUAAAAGAAGCUUGCUUCUUUUGAUGACGAGUGGCGGACGGGUGAGUAAUAUUUGGGAAACUACCUGAUAGAGGGGGACAACAGUUGGAAACGACUGCUAAUACCGCAUAAAGCCUAAGGGUGAAAGCAGCAAUGCGCUAUCAGAUGUGCCCAAACGGGGNUUAGCUAGUAGGUGAGGUAAAGGCUCACCUAGGCGACGAUCUCUAGCUGGUCUGAGAGGAUGAUCAGCCACAUUGGGACUGAGACACGGCCCAGACUCCUACGGGAGGCAGCAGUAGGGAAUAUUGCACAAUGGGGGGAAACCCUGAUGCAGCGACGCCGCGUGGAGGAAGAAGGUCUUCGGGAUUGUAAACUCCUAGUUGUUGAGGAAGACAAUGACGGUACUCAACAAGGAAGUGACGGCUAACGUACGUG